rnacentral:rRNA from 1 species
CUACGGGCGGCUCCAGUGGGGAAUAUUGCACAAUGGGCGCAAGCCUGAUGCAGCCAUGCCGCGUGUAUGAAGAAGGCCUUCGGGUUGUAAAGUACUUUCAGCGGGGAGGAAGGGAGUAAAGUUAAUACCUUUGCUCAUUGACGUUACCCGCAGAAGAAGCACCGGCUAACUCCGUGCCAGCAGCCGCGGUAAUACGGAGGGUGCAAGCGUUAAUCGGAAUUACUGGGCGUAAAGCGCACGCAGGCGGUUUGUUAAAUCAGAUGUGAAAUCCCCGGGCUCAACCUGGGAACUGCAUCUGAUACUGGCAAGCUUGAGUCUCGUAGAGGGGGGUAGAAUUCCAGGUGUAGCGGUGAAAUGCGUAGAGAUCUGGAGGAAUACCGGUGGCGAAGGCGGCCCCCUGGACGAAGACUGACGCUCAGGUGCGAAGGCGUGGGGAACAAACAGGAUUAGAUACCCCUGUAGUC